rfam:Gorilla gorilla gorilla genomic chromosome, chr22, whole genome shotgun sequence
GCUGGGCGUGGUGGCGCGUGCCUGUAAUCCCAGCUACUCAGGAGGCUGAGGCAGGAGAAUCACUUGAACCCGGGGGCGGAGGUUGCAGUGAGCUGAGAUCGCGCCACUGCACUCCAGCCUGGGUGACAGAGUGAGACUCUGUCUGCA